AAGAAGUAAAAACAUUCAAAUGGCUUGCGUAUCACCUCCCACGGCGGUCAAAGUCAAUAAAACCCUGAUGUUGUGACGAAAUAACACAGAAUGCUUCAGCCUGCGUGGCCGGAACUGCCUGUCGUAUAAAGUGGCAAAAAAGCUGCACACCUCAACAAAAUCUUGAAUGGAAAAAGUUCUACGCCAUUUAACUUUCCACAGGCAAACUACAAGGAUAACGAUACCGUGAUUCAGGCAGUUUCAGAAUGUUUUUGUGGAGGGGAAUAUCCAGGUACCAAGUGGAUUUCUUGCUGAAAUACUCAAAGUUAGUGGUUUAGCUUCCACGACUCCUCAGCCCACUGUCCCAAACACCACUUUCCCUGGAAACAGCACCGGAGGAUUUCCAGGUUGGGCCCUGGCCAUCAUUAUCCCCUGCAGUAUAGCCAUCAUCCUCAUACCCACCUGGAUUACACUCUGUUGUAUGCUGUGUGGUUGCUGUGCCGCCAUAAGGAGACGCUAC